rnacentral:rRNA from 1 species
GGACGAACGCUGGCGGCGUGCCUAAUACAUGCAAGUGGAACGCAUGAUUGAUACCGUAGCUUGCUACACCAUUAAUCAUGAGUCGCGAACGGGUGAGUAACGCGUAGGUAACCUGCCUACUAGCGGGGGAUAACUAUUGGAAACGAUAGCUAAUACCGCAUAAGAGUUUUUAACACAUGUUAGAAAUUUAAAAGGAGCAAAUGCUUCACUAGUAGAUGGACCUGCGUUGUAUUAGCUAGUUGGUAAGGUAACGGCUUACCAAGGCGACGAUACAUAGCCGACCUGAGAGGGUGAUCGGCCACACUGGGACUGAGACACGGCCCAGACUCCUACGGGAGGCAGCAGUAGGGAAUCUUCGGCAAGUGGGGGGACCCUGACCGAGCAACGCCGCGUGAGUGAAAAGAAGGUUUUCGGAUCGUAAAGCUCUGUUGUAAGAGAAGAACGUUGAGUAGAGUGGAAAGUUACUCAAGUGACGGUAUCUUACCAGAAAGGGACGGCUAACUACGUGCCAGCAGCAGC